UACGUAGGGUGCAGGCGUUAAUCGGAAUUACUGGGCGUAAAGCGUGCGCAGGCGGUUUCUUAAGUCAGAUGUGAAAGCCCCGGGCUUAACCUGGGAACUGCGUUUGAAACUGGGAGACUUGAGUGUGGCAGAGGGAGGUGGAAUUCCACGUGUAGCAGUGAAAUGCGUAGAUAUGUGGAGGAACACCGAUGGCGAAGGCAGCCCCCUGGGUUAACACUGACGCUCAUGCACGAAAGCGUGGGGAGCAAACAGG
rnacentral:rRNA from 1 species